GACGUAGGGGGCGAGCGUUAUCCGGAUUUAUUGGGCGUAAAGAGCUUGUAGGCGGUCUGUCGCGUCUGCUGUGAAAAUCCGGGGCUCAACCCCGGACUUGCAGUGGGUACGGGCAGACUAGAGUGUGGUAGGGGAGACUGGAAUUCCUGGUGUAGCGGUGAAAUGCGCAGAUGUCAGGAGGAACACCGAUGGCGAAGGCAGGUCUCUGGGCCACUACUGACGCUGAGAAGCGAAAGCAUGGGGAGCGAACAGG
rnacentral:rRNA from 1 species